UCUAAUAUAGUAAAUUGUUCUCACCUGUACCUUCAUUAAUCCAGUCUCCCAGUUUUAAUCUUCCAGGUUUUAGCUGCUCAUCGCUGGAUUCUUUCGUGGUUGUCCAUGUGGUUCCUGUCCUCCUGGUUCCUGUUUGUUGGAUCUCCUGAGCCUGGAAUCCUCCACCUUCAACACCGUCUGUCAGGUGGAGGAAGAUAAGAGAACCCAGUUGACGAAAAAAGUAAGAACAUUUCUAUCUACAAAACAUAACUAAACAUUUCAGAUGGAGCUGCAUAGAGUUGAGCUGAAAGUUACAAACUGGUUCUGUCUGCUGUCCAUGAUUAUUUUCCUCUUUAACUCUGUUGUCUUUUCUCUUUAUUUCAUUUCUCUGUCAACUCAUGUCACAUGACUUGAGUUGACCAACAAAUAAAACAGAAGACCUGCUCCACCUGCUGAUCUACUGGUUGGAAGAGAUUGUGGAAAAGCGAGACAAGACAACAACUUUUGACUAAUGAGGAGAGAGAAGACACAGAGGACUGAGGAGACGCAGAAAAUCCUGCUGGAAAUCAAUAAAAAUGUUUCCUGAUGGAACAGGGGGACGGCUGAGGACAGGACACAACAUAAAGAGACAGAGACCAUGUGAAAUUCAAGGAUGGCCUUUCAACCCUGGAUUUCAUUUAUGCUUUGGAGCUUCAUGCUUCUGUGUUCAGGCCCUUUGUGUGCGGAAAAGCUGACAUCAGAAAUGUGAGAGGAAAUCUUUGAAGUUCAGCUCAGCGAAAAGGGCAGCACCAGACGACAAGAAGAAACCAGACUGCUAGGAUUCUCCUUGAGACAGACCAAACCUCGCUUUCCUGUUCAAACUCUGACAAGAUACCAAAGCCCAAGACAUACGAUCAGUUUCAAAGAAGACAUGAACUUUGAAUUACAAAACUCUUUGGACUUUAUUAAGUUCAAAUACAGAAUCACAAAACAUAAAUGUGGAUGUUGGCCUGUGAAGGCAGAUGUUAACUUGUGAAACCUGCUCUGUCAAAGUUCUGACUCUGCUGCAUUGUGGUUGUUUGACAACCUUUAAAUUUUAGACUCAUUUAUUUCCAAGUCCACCAUGUUUUCUAGUCUUGUGUAGUUUUCCACAUAGGAUUCCCAAGUUAGUGGAUGCACUAGGCCACUGUCUCUGGAGGUCCUCAAACUGUCCCUAAAGACGGUCAUGGCCACAUUGACUGCUGAUUGACUCGGUCAUAAACUGUCCCAAUUCCUCCUGGGAGUCUGGGAACCUACAGUCUGUUCUGCCAAACCCAGGAGUAAAAUAUGCAUCAAAACAGGACACAUAGUUUAGUUAUAUAUUUAUAUUUCUUCAUUCAACUGUCACUACCAACUGCUACGACUAUUGUUGAAAACUGUUGUAAUGUUUAAUUGUAUUUACAUAUAAAUAUUAGAAAUGAAAAUGUUUAUGUCAUCAGAAACUGUUCCAAUAAAAAGUGACAUAUUAUUAACA